CAAAAAAUAUAUGGCGGUUAACCGCUUCAUGGCGAUCUGUCAUUCUUCUUUGAGUGGUUUUCGUAAACGUAUGCAUUGUUUUCAUGAAAAACCAUUUGAAAUUCAACAACUUAUUUGUCAUCCAUCAAAUAUUUUAUUAAUGAUUUAUAACCUGCGUAUUGUUUCCAAAAGGAUCAAAUAUAGAGAAUUAUAGUACGAAAUAAUUUUAAAUUAUGUUUAUAAGAGGAAUGGUCAAGGAAGAGUAAAUCAUCAUGACAAUGGCUAUGCGUAAGCGGAGUGGUUCUGGCUCCAAGCGCCAGCACAAAGGAAAGCUUGUACCUAUUUAUGAGAGUUUCUUUAAGGGAGAGGAUUUAACUUUAGCACAUCCAAAUUUUUGGAAUGAGUUAUUUCUUAUUAAACCCAUGGUUCCUCAUAUUGAAAGUGAAAUUCUUCAUAUGACAAUAGAACAAUUGAAUGCAAGCAGGGAAAAUUUAAAUGCUCUAGUAUGUCAUUGUGUGGAUACACUAGUCGAUGAACAUCCAUUUAGAGUAGUAUAUGCGUUACAAACAUUAGCAGCUGUUAUUCAAUCUAUGUAUAAAAAGGCUAGUCAAGGAGAUUGUGGAUUUAAUUUAAUAGAUAUCCUUGUAGGAUUUAAUUCAGCUGAACAAAGAAUGACAACAUUAAUGCAGCAUUGUAAUAAUUUUUUAACAGGUGAAUAUCCUGAUAGUUUAAAGGCUUUAUGUUUAAAAUUAUUGUUAAUUAUUGUUACUGGAAUGGAUAACGUGAGUCAGAAUACACUAUUGGAAUAUGUGAUGCUUAAUAGUGUCUUCGAGUCUUUAGUUCAAUUAUUGAGAGAUACAGGAGCUAGAAAUCGUCAUGGGCACGAUGCAGUUCUGUUGUUAACACUUUUAGUUAACUAUAGAAAGCACGAAAGUACAAAUCCUUACAUUGUUAAAUUAUCAAUUCUUGAUGAUGAAUUAGCACUUAACGGGUAUGGACAAGUAAUAUCGAGUUCAUUAACAGAAUUUUGUAGACAAUUUGCUCAACAAAGAACAGAAAUACAGGCAUCUUGGUUAUCAUCUUUAACAAGUAUUGUUGGUAGUAUGUUUGUUGGAGAAGAGGAAGCAAAAACGCAACAAGUUCGUGCAAAUAAUGCUUUAUUACUAGCUUUAUAUGAGGCUACACAUUUAAAUCGUAAUUUCGUAACUACAUUGGCAUAUACGCAAAGUGAUACAAGCGCUCCACCUUCACCAAAUAAUACUCUUGGUCCUAAUGCCGUAGCUCCUGGAGCUCAACCACCAGAUGUUAUGGCUCAACCAUUUAAUUUACUUGCUACGUUUUUGCAGUACUGUUCGAUAGUUAUGCAGGUUAUAAGGACAGAGGCAAUAAUGAAUAAUGUUAAAUUAUGUUUCCUAAUAUUGAGCUGUAUUGCAGAAGAUCAAUAUGCAAAUAGUUUGAUGCAUGAUGCAAAUUUAGCAUUUAGAGUACAGUUACACAGAGUACCUAUGCAUCAUAGAAAAUUACAAGACAAAGUAGCACCUGCACAACCUCUUGCAGCUACAUUGCUUGAUUUAUUAGUCGAAUUUAUAACAUCGCAUAUGAUGAAGAAGUUUCCUCUUGAAUUAUAUCAUCAAUGUAUUGGCGUUUUGCAAAGACUUCUGUGUUAUCAAAAGAGAUGCAGAGUUAGACUUGGAUAUCAAUGGAGAGAUCUUUGGACUGCCUUAAUCAAUCUUUUGAAAUUUCUUACUACUCAUGAGAGUCAUCUGAUUAAGAAAAUGAAUAUUUUUCCAUUAGCUAUUCAGGUCGCUAAUAUUUUGAACUUUUUCAUUACAUAUGGAGAUACAUUUUUAUCUUCAUCAAGUAGUUAUGAUGAAUUAUUUUAUGAAAUUAUACGAAUGAAACUUAUCUUCACAAACUUAAAUGCUAUGGCAUUAAGAUACUCAACUAGUGAAUCAUAUGAAUAUAAAGAACAUGCACUUAAAUUAACAAAUUCGUUAGUAAAUAUGAGAGAUAUAGUAAAUCAUUUUUCACCAAAAAUAACUGCAUGGUUAACUAGUGAAAGUUUAUCUACUCCAUCUGAACAACAAAUUAUGACGAUCAUAAUACAAAAUUAUGAUAGUCUUACUUUAAAAUUGCGAGAUAAUUUAGAUCAAUAUGAAAGAUAUUCUGAGAAACCCAAUCAUACAGGUUUUUUUGAAGAUAUGGUAACUGGUGUUGUUGUUGACACUCGAGGAUCAAUUGACCUCAGUACAUUAGAUACACAGGCUAUAUUACAAGAAUUAUCAAAUAUUUCGUAACAGGUUGAAUACAUAGUUAUGCCAUGUAUUUUUUCAUCGAUUAUUUUAAUAUAAUGUAUUAUAAUGUACUUUUUUAACAUAUACUUGUAUACUUGUAUAUUAAUAUGCGAUUAAUAUUCUGAAUUAAAAAUAUAUAAUAUAUAUAAUAAUAAAAUAAAAAAAAUAUAUAUAUAUAUACACAUGUAUUUACUUUCUUUUACAUAUAAUUCAACCACUGCUCUAGCAAGUACGUGAAAAGCAUGUGUAUCAUGUGAAUCUUGAGACAUACUAAUCCAUCUUUCAGCUGCCUCUUGACAUGCUAAUCGUAAAAAUGGUUGUCUUAAAAAUGUACUAGUAUCUAAAUUUGAAUUAGCAAUUACUUUCUGAAGGCAUUGUGACAUUGGAAAAUUAUCAAAAUAUUGUGUGUUAUUUGGCAUUUCUUUUCCAUUUUUGGAUAUAGAAAGUUUAUGGUAACAACACGAAAUCAAAAUCAAUAAUUGUGCAUUUUUCAUAUUACAAAAUAUUUUAGAUACAUAUACACUUAAGUCUCCACAGGCGUGUAAUCCAAUAAAACAAAGAUUAUCAAUUUUUCCAAAC